CUAUAGAUAUUACUAGCAAUAUAACAGUGGUUAGUCAAGGAGAUUCAUACAGUUUGACAUGCAGGUCCACAUACGGGACGAUGUAUUUCAUUAAGGAUAAAACCUGCAUCAAGUCACCUUGUGUAUUAGACAGAUGGGAUCCUUACAGCUGUAUCCUAACCAGCCAUAGAAACAAGACACUAUCUCACCAGUUGAUUAUCCUCUCUGCUGAAGAUACUGGCACAGCACCAUGGCACUGUCAACCAUCUGAAACAGAUAACACUUGGUCAUCACGCACGAUCUCCAUAAAAGUAACAGCUGACAAGAUCAGAGAAAGAUUAACGGAAAGUACGACCAGGGCUGGAACUACUAAUAGUGGUGUUACUGAUACAGAAUCAUUGACAAUAACUCAAAAAUAUCCAUGGGCAAAUAUCACCGUAAUAGUAUCUCUAGCAGUUGUAUGUUGUAUUCUUCUCGUCGUAGCAGUUACAUUCAUCGCCAUCUUUAUUAUCAAACGACCCAAGAAACAACCAGUCGUCAACAACAAUCAACAAAUACCAGUUCCUGGUCGUUAUGAUUAUUUAGCAAACACAAAUACCAUAGAAUAUCAACAACUACACAUAUAUGAAAAUACCGGACCAUUCAGAUAUGCGUUAUAAAUAAUUUACUUUACAGGAAUAAAUAGUUUACACUGUAAUGGUUGCUUUAAGUUGACUUGAGAAACUGUACAUGUUGCUUUAAACUGGCACGAAACUGUAAAAAGUUGCUUUAAACAAGAAGCAGUAAUGGUUGCUUUAAAUUGACACUAAACUGUUAAAGUUAUUUGACACGAACACGAAACUGUAAAAACUGCUCCAAAUUGACACGAA